rnacentral:lncRNA from 1 species
UUUUUUAAAAUAACUAUUAAAGAAAAAAGAAAAUUAAUUUUAAAAGAUAAAAAAAAAGAAUUUGUGAAUAAAGGUAAAUAAACUUUAAAAACCUCAUGCUUGUACUCCUUGUUCUCAAUCAAAUGGGCUAUUCCAAUUAUUCAAAAUAAAAUUCCAUUAAAAAUAGUAUAAUUUAAAUACUUAAUGAAUUAUUUAACUUUACUGAUUAAUCAUAAUCAAAUAAAUUCUAAUUAAUAAUAAUAAAC